AUUGAACGCUGGCGGCAGGCCUAACACAUGCAAGUCGAGCGGAGCGGCGGACGGGUGAGUAAUGCCUAGGAAUCUGCCUGGUAGUGGGGGAUAACGUCCGGAAACGGGCGCUAAUACCGCAUACUAUCAGAUGAGCCUAGGUCGGAUUAGCUAGUUGGUGGGGUAAAGGCCUACCAAGGCGACGAUCCGUAACUGGUCUGAGAGGAUGAUCAGUCACACUGGAACUGAGACACGGCCCAGACUCCGAAGGGAGGCAGCAGUAGGGAAUAUUGGGCAAUGGGCGAAAGCCUGAUCCAGCCAUGCCGCGUGUGUGAAGAAGGUCUUCGGAUUGUAAAGCACUGUAAGUUGGGAAGCGUUACCAAAAGAAUAAGCAACGGCUAACUUCGUGCCAGCAGCCGCGGUAAUAC
rnacentral:rRNA from 1 species